rnacentral:rRNA from 1 species
AUUGAACGCUGGCGGCAUGCCUUACACAUGCAAGUCGAACGGCAGCGGACCUUCGGGUGCCGGCGAGUGGCGAACGGGUGAGUAAUAUAUCGGAACGUACCUUUCAGUGGGGGAUAACGUAGCGAAAGUUACGCUAAUACCGCAUAUUCUGUGAGCAGGAAAGCAGGGGAUCGCAAGACCUUGCGCUGAUUGAGCGGCCGAUAUCAGAUUAGCUAGUUGGUGAGGUAAAGGCUUACCAAGGCGACGAUCUGUAGCGGGUCUGAGAGGAUGAUCCGCCACACUGGAACUGAGACACGGUCCAGACUCCUACGGGGAGGCAGCAGUGGGGAAUUUUGGACAAUGGGGGCAACCCUGAUCCAGCCAUGCCGCGUGAGUGAAGAAGGCCUCGG